CUGGCGGCGUGCUUAACACAUGCAAGUCGAACGAACCUUCGGGUUAGUGGCGGACGGGUGAGUAACGCGUGAGAAUCUGCCCUCAGGAGGGGGACAACAGCUGGAAACGGCUGCUAAUACCCCAUAUGCCGCGAGGUGAAAUGAAUUUCGCCUGAGGAUGAGCUCGCGUCUGAUUAGCUAGUUGGUGUAGGUAAUGGCUCACCAAGGCAUCGAUCAGUAGCUGGUCUGAGAGGAUGAUCAGCCACACUGGGACUGAGACACGGCCCAGACUCCUACGGGAGGCAGCAGUGGGGAAUUUUCCGCAAUGGGCGAAAGCCUGACGGAGCAACGCCGCGUGAGGGAUGAAGGCCUCUGGGCUGUAAACCUCUUUUAUCAAGGAAGAAGAU
rnacentral:rRNA from 1 species